GAUGAACGCUGGCGGCGUGCUUAACACAUGCAAGUCGAACGGAAAGGCCCAAGCUUGGUGGGGUGCUCGAGUGGCGAACGGGUGAGUAACACGUGGGUGACCUGCCCUGCACUUCGGGAUAAGCUUAGGAAACUGGGUCUAAUACCGGAUAGGAGCUCUUCUUGGAUGUUGGGGUGGUGAGCUUUUGCGGGGUGGGUUGUGAUGGCGGCCUUUCUGGCUGUUGGUGUGGGAUAGGCCUACCAAGGGGUCGACGGGUAGGCGGCCUGGGAGGGUGUACGGCCACAUUGGGGCCGAGAAACGGCCCAGAGUGCUACGGGGGGGAACAGGGGGGAAUAUUGCCCAAAUGGGGCGAGGCAGAAGGAGCGACCGCGCCGUGAGGAUGGAGGCCUUCCGGUUGUAAACCCCUUUCCUUAGGGGCCAAAGGGUUAGUGACGGUAACUGGUGAAGAAGCACCGGCUAACUACGUG
rnacentral:rRNA from 1 species